rnacentral:rRNA from 1 species
GGUUAAGUUAGAAAGGGCGCACGGUGGAUGCCUUGGCACUAGGAGCCGAUGAAGGACGGGACGAACACCGAUAUGCUUCGGGGAGCUGUAAGCAAGCUUUGAUCCGGAGAUUUCCGAAUGGGGAAACCCACCACUCGUAAUGGAGUGGUAUCCAUAUCUGAAUUCAUAGGAUAUGAGAAGGCAGACCCGGGGAACUGAAACAUCUAAGUACCCGGAGGAAGAGAAAGCAAAUGCGAUUCCCUGAGUAGCGGCGAGCGAAACGGGAUUAGCCCAAACCAAGAGGCUUGCCUCUUGGGGUUGUAGGACACUCUAUACGGAGUUACAAAGGAACGAGGUAGAUGAAGAGGUCUGGAAAGGCCCGCCAUAGGAGGUAACAGCCCUGUAGUCAAAACUUCGUUCUCUCCAGAGUGGAUCCUGAGUACGGCGGAACACGUGAAAUUCCGUCGGAAUCCGGGAGGACCAUCUCCCAAGGCUAAAUACUCCCUAGUGACCGAUAGUGAAC